UACGGGGGGGGCAAGCGUUGUUCGGAAUUACUGGGCGUAAAGGGCUCGUAGGCGGCCAACUAAGUCGGACGUGAAAUCCCCAGGCUCAACCUGGGAACUGCAUCCGAUACUGGAUGGCUUGAAUUCGGGAGAGGGAUGCAGAAUUCCAGGUGUAGCGGUGAAAUGCGUAGAUAUCGGAAGGAACAUCAGUGGCGAAAGCGACUUCCUGGACCAGUACCGACGUUCAGGCACGUAAGCGUGGGGAGCAAACAGG
rnacentral:rRNA from 1 species